CCUACGGGUGGCUGCAGUCGAGAAUCAUUCACAAUGGGGGAAACUCUGAUGGUGCGACGCCGCGUGGGGGAAUGAAGGUCUAUGGAUUGUAAACCCCUGUUAUGUGGGAGUAAAUUAAAAAGAUAGUACCACAAGAGGAAGAGCCGGCGAAUGCUGUGCCAGCAGCUGCGGUAAUACAGAGGUCUCAAGCGUUGUACGGAAUCACUGGGCGUAAAGCGUGCGGAUGCUGUUUGGUAAGGCGUGUGUGAAAGGCCGGGGCUCAACCCCCGGAGGGCCUAUGAUACUGUGAGACUAGAGUUAAGGUGGGGGAGGCGGAAUGUUCGGUGUAGCAGUGAAAUGCGUAGAUAUC
rnacentral:rRNA from 1 species